rnacentral:lncRNA from 1 species
UCUAAUAUAUAUAUAUGCUGUCGAUUAAAAAAACAAAAACUACGUACAUUUCGACACGUGACUUAUCUAAAACUUGUAAACACAGAGUUUUCCUCUUACAACAAGAGAAUAUUAGUGAUUGAGAAGAGAAUUAUCCAAGAAAAAAUGGAGAGUCAUCCACGUGUCAAAACCAGGAUUGAUGUUUAGAAGUGGUAACAUAUUGGAAGAACUGGUCCAUAGUGUUCGGAGGAGGGUUUUAGGGCUAAAUCUAAAAAAAACCGUUGGUUAGUUUUUGUAGCCCCACAAAAAAAAAAAAAACAUGUCUUUAGAGAAAAAAACGUUUUUAAUUUACUAAUCUUCUAAACUAGUCAGAUGUCGACAGGUGUUGU